rnacentral:rRNA from 1 species
CACGUAGGGUGCGAGCGUUGUCCGGAAUUAUUGGGCGUAAAGAGCUCGUAGGCGGUUUGUUGCGUCGGCCGUGAAAACUCAGGGCUUAACUCUGAGCCUGCGGUCGAUACGGGCAGACUUGAGUUCGGUAGGGGAGACUGGAAUUCCUGGUGUAGCGGUGAAAUGCGCAGAUAUCAGGAGGAACACCGGUGGCGAAGGCGGGUCUCUGGGCCGAUACUGACGCUGAGGAGCGAAAGCGUGGGGAGCGAACAGG